rnacentral:rRNA from 1 species
GACGAACGCUGGCGGCGUGCUUAACACAUGCAAGUCGAACGGAAAGGCCCUGCUUUUGUGGGGUGCUCGAGUGGCGAACGGGUGAGUAACACGUGAGUAACCUGCCCUUGACUUUGGGAUAACUUCAGGAAACUGGGGCUAAUACCGGAUAGGAGCUCCUGCUGCAUGGUGGGGGUUGGAAAGUUUCGGCGGUUGGGGAUGGACUCGCGGCUUAUCAGCUUGUUGGUGGGGUAGUGGCUUACCAAGGCUUUGACGGGUAGCCGGCCUGAGAGGGUGACCGGGCACAUUGGGACUGCGAUACGGCCCAGACUCCUACGGGAGGCAGCAGUGGGGAAUAUUGCACAAUGGGCGGAAGCCUGAUGCAGCAACGCCGCGUGCGGGAUGACGGCCUUCGGGUUGUAAACCGCUUUGGCCUGUGACGAAGCGUGAGUGACGGUAAUGGGUAAAGAAGCACCGGCUAACUACGUG